ACCCUUAUUGCGCAUGCUUAUGUGUAUUUAUAUGACUAGCAUGGUUUAUCACUUGAAAACUUACUUUAAGACAUGCACAGUUCAUAUUACGUCUAUCUAGUUGUGUUAGCGCAUCAUUCAUAUUCAAAGGCAUAAACGUCCUAUCAUGUUUGCACAUAUAGUCAAUGUUUAAAGACCCAAAAAUUACUAGUAUGUCAUCCUACAAGUUCAGAAGUUUAGACAACACAAUGCUC
rnacentral:lncRNA from 1 species